rnacentral:lncRNA from 1 species
GCUUGGGGACUGAUUCACUGACUUCACCACCAGCAGCGGAUAGGACCAGAGCUUCUAUUUACUCAACAGCUCUUACUGUAACAGAAAAGACUGGCACCGGUUGGUUAUUCAACAGCAGAUAGGCUUAGAGCCAGUAGUUGCCCUCCCUUGGAUUAUUCAAAUGUCAUUGCAGAUGAUCUUCUCGGGCAGUGAUAUCCCCCAAAGCAAGGGUCCGAAGGAUAGAAAGUACUGCUUAUUCUAAUUCGUAUCUUAAGUCUUUCCAGUUCCUAUUCAAGUGAACGGGGCAUCUUUGCAUUCCUCCUGGCUACACGAAUAGGAAAAGU